rnacentral:rRNA from 1 species
AGCAGCCGCGGUAAUUCCAGCUCCAAUAGCGUAUAUUAAAGUUGUUGCAGUUAAAAAGCUCGUAGUUGAAUUUCGGGAUCAAUAUAUCGGUCGUGCCUCCGGUAUGCACUGGUAUUAUUGAUUUCUACCUUCUGACGAAUCAUGAUGUCAUUAAUUUGGUGUCAUGGGGAAUCAGGACUGUUACUUUGAAAAAUUAGAGUGUUUAAAGCAGGCACACGCUUGAAUACAUUAGCAUGGAAUAAUGAAAUAGGACGUUUGACCCUAUUUUGUUGGUUUCUAGGAUCGACGUAAUGAUUAAUAGGGAUAGUUGGGGGCAUUAGUAUUCAAUUGUCAGAGGUGAAAUUCUUGGAUUUAUUGAAGACUAACUACUGCGAAAGCAUUUGCCAAGGAUGUUUUCAUUAAUCAAGAACGAAAGUUAGGGGAUCGAAGACGAUCAGAUACCGUCGUAGUCUUAACCAUAAACUAUGCCGACUAGGGAUCGGAUGAUGUUAAUUUUUAAUUGUACU